rnacentral:ribozyme from 1 species
UACAAUAUUGCCCUGUAACGGGGUGGAAUCUGAAGACUCCUGAAGAUUCCAUCCAACUCCUAUUCCGACACGUCCACGUCAUGCAGGGUGGUAACAUGGGCCCG